AUACGGAGGAUGCGAGCGUUAUCCGGAUUUAUUGGGUUUAAAGGGAGCGUAGGUGGGAUAUUAAGUCAGCUGUGAAAGUUUGGGGCUCAACCUUAAAAUUGCAGUUGAUACUGGGUGUCUUGAGUACAGUAGAGGCAGGCGGAAUUCGUGGUGGAGCGGUGAAAUGCUUAGAUAUCACGAAGAACUCCGAUUGCGAAGGCAGCCUGCUGGACUGUAACUGACGCUGAUGCUCGAAAGUGUGGGUAUCAAACAGGAUUAGAUACCCUGGUAGUCCACACAGUAAACGAUGAAUACUCGCUGUUUGCGAUAUACAGUAAGCGGCCAAGCGAAAGCGUUAAGUAUUCCACCUGGGGAGUACGCCGGCAACGGUGAAACUCAAAUGAAUUGGCGGGG
rnacentral:rRNA from 1 species